GCGGAAAUUUGCAGGAAGAAUUGGGGUUUGUGUGUGGCGGGGUGGGGAAUUCCCGAGGGGCGUCGACUGCUCGAUGGAAACCCCCGCGCGGGCUGCCCUUGGCGGCGCUUCUUCAGCUAUGCAACCAAGAUACCUGGUUGACUUGUGCAAGAUCAAACUGGAAGAAAAGCAAAGAAAGAAAAUGAAAACACAAGAAUGGUCAAUUAUCAACUCUUUAGGGUGACCAGCUUAUCCGGGUUUGCCUGGGACCGUCCCAAUUUUAACACUGAAAGUAUGGCAUCUUAGGAACUCCCUCUGUUUUGGACAGACCUGAACAACUGGUGAUUCCAUUGGUCACCAUCUGGCGAAUUUCGGCUACAGAUCACAUGGAUUAUUAGAAGACAAAGGCAACCCAUUUAUGACCUGAAGGAACCCGGGUUAUUGGGGGAUACCAUUGAAAUCCACGUCACAAGGGGUGCUGUGCAUGUCCUGUCUCUAUACCUCUC